CUUCCCUUUCUUUUUUUCGUUCCCUUUCUCUCUGACGCCGACUCUCCCUCUCUGAGCUCUCUUGCCUUUCGGUCUCCGUCUCUCCUACUUCUCUUGUUCUCUUCUCCGGCGAAUCUCCGCCUGUGCUCUGCGCUUCUCCGGCGAAUCUUCGCAUGCGCUCUUCUCCGACGCCGACUCUCCCUCUCUCGCCUCUCGGUCUCCGUCUCUUCUACUUCUCGUUCUCUUCUCCGGCGAAUCUCCGUUGGUGGUGGACUUGCUGGCUGCUGCAUACUGGAAGGCCGAUUGCAGUUGCCUGAGGACAACCCACUGCUUUAUCCAACAGCCAGAGCCAAAGGUUCUUCGAAUCCAAAUCAAGCAUCAUAGGGAGUAUCUGCAUAUAACACCUAUUACAGUUGGCAUGUGUUUCUCAAAGGCACUUAUUUGGAAGCAUCUCGUGGUUUCACUUGAUUGCUGCUCGUAAUAGCUACCAAGGAGAUUCCCCAAGUGUAUUUCCCUUCUAGAUGCUAUUCAUUAUACAACUUCUGUGGCAAUCUUGGUACAAGGACGCAUUUGAAAGGAGCCAUAUGUGCACAGGUGGGAUCUGAAACUGUAUUGGUCUUCGGGUUUGUUUCUACAACUAUUUGAACAAAAUAUGUCAAUGACAAAUUGUUGAUUUGUUGCCUUUUAGGACUCUAACCUGUAUAGCAUGGAUAAUGAUAAAAAGUCCACUUCUAAUGUUGUUUUUAGUUUA